rnacentral:rRNA from 1 species
CACGUAGGGUGCGAGCGUUGUCCGGAAUUAUUGGGCGUAAAGAGCUCGUAGCGGUGUGUCGCGUCGGCCGUGAAAACCUGUAGCUUAACUGUGGGCUUGCGGUCGAUACGGGCAUCACUGGAGUUCGGCAGGGGAGACUGGAAUUCCUGGUGUAGCGGUGAAAUGCGCAGAUAUCAGGAGGAACACCGAUGGCGAAGGCAGGUCUCUGGG